rnacentral:Y_RNA from 1 species
GGCUGGUCUGAAGGUAAUGAGUUAUCAUUUGAUUGUUCACGUCAGUUACAAAUUGAACUUCUUGGUCUAGUCUUUCCCCCCUUCUCAUUACGGCACUUAACUAGUCUUUA